rnacentral:rRNA from 1 species
UACAGAGGGUGCGAGCGUUAAUCGGAAUUACUAGGCGUAAAGCGUGCGUAGACGGUUCUGUAAGUCGGAUGUGAAAUCCCCGGGCUCAACCUGGGAACUGCAUUUGUGACUGCAUGGCUAGAGUACGGUAGAGGGGGAUGGAAUUCCGCGUGUAGCAGUGAAAUGCGCAGAUAUCAGGAGGAACACCAAUGGCGAAGGCAGCUCGCUGGGACGGUACUGACGCUGAGACGCGAAAGCGUGGGGAGCGAACUGG